rnacentral:lncRNA from 1 species
AAUUUCCAAAUAAAAAAUACUUUAAAAAACAUAAUCCAAUAAUCUCUAUUAAUAAUCUCUAUUAGUAUCUCUGCCAGCUUCUUCUUGUAUACACAUUCGCACAAGUAAAAUAUGGAAGCCAGGAAGAGCCUUCCAGUUUUCGCCGUCCUCCUUUUUCUUGUUCUCUUUACCACUUCUAGUAAAAUGCUCCUUCUACCCUAUGCCGUUUUAUUUAUUGUUAGCUAAGGUAGAAAGCAGAUUAUUUACACACAAAAGGAUGAAAUCACUAAAAACUGAUCGACAUUCACACAUCUAAGUACUUGGAUAUAAACGUGGAAGUGCGUGUCUCAUAGAGAACCUGCACACCCAUAUUUUAAAAGUUGGUCAUUUUCCAGGAAAUGCUUGAAAAAUUCUAAAUUUAUAAACACAGUCUGUUACCUAACGUGAAAGUAAUGGACUUAAAUACAUGAAGGUCAUGUAAAGAUUCUUUCACUGACUCGAUUCUUUCUUACUGAGUGCAGGUAGGGAAAAGAUGCUGGCAAAUGCUGUGAAAAAGAUGAAUGCAAUAACGGAUGCGCCGCAAGUAUGGCUCAGGCUCUUAUGGAUAUUGCUUCUUUUUAGAAAAGCCAGAUGACACUUGUGUCUGCCGUUACCCUUUGCUAAUUCCUACUCCUAGUUGCAACACAAGUUUCAGUGUAUUUCACUAUCCAUGUCAAAUGGGAUGACUAAAGGUAAAAAUAAGUAAAGGGAAAAACAAGUAAAUCAUUACUAUUUGUUUUCUGUCAUUGCGGGCGCGCUCAGUCUGAAUUUUGACACUAUUUGAAUCCAGAUUCCAAAUGAAAAUAGAUCCAUGCGUGCUCAACUAUCUAUCAUGGUGAAAGCUGCCUAAUGAAAUUUACUUGCAUCUGAAUCCAAUCUAAGCAGGGCAGUCAUCCCUUUCUUUGAAUGUAAGGGAUUGGAUACAAUUAGCUAAAGAUAAACCAUAUCAACAGUUACAUGGCGAGUCCCUGCUGAUUCAGGUUUACAGUCCCCUUUUUCCUUAAUUGACCCAGUUAAAAUCCCAUCACACAAUAUCGAAUAAUGUAAUCAAGAGAACCUCCCCCCUUCUCUCAAUCUUCAUCUAAACAUGUUAGUUGCAGUUGAUAUAACGCAUAACUCAAAUAUUAGAGCUUCAUGGAAAGAAAUUUGAUUCUUCAUUUGUCACACAAUCUCUCUCUUAUCAAGAAUGGUAUACUUGAGAAAUGCAAAACAGUUAGCCUGAUCAACCAACUGUUCAGGUAUGCAAA